rnacentral:rRNA from 1 species
CCUACGGGAGGCAGCAGUGGGGAAUUUUGGACAAUGGGCGCAAGCCUGAUCCAGCAAUGCCGCGUGAGUGAAGAAGGCCUUCGGGUUGUAAAGCUCUUUUGUCAGGGAAGAAACGGUAAAGGCUAAUAUCUUUUGCUAAUGACGGUACCUGAAGAAUAAGCACCGGCUAACUACGUGCCAGCAGCCGCGGUAAUACGUAGGGUGCAAGCGUUAAUCGGAAUUACUGGGCGUAAAGCGUGCGCAGGCGGUUUUGUAAGUUUGUCGUGAAAUCCCCGGGCUCAACCUGGGAAUGGCGAUGAAGACUGCAAGGCUAGAAUCUGGCAGAGGGGGGGUAGAAUUCCACGUGUAGCAGUGAAAUGCGUAGAGAUGUGGAGGAACACCGAUGGCGAAGGCAGCCCCCUGGGUCAAGAUUGACGCUCAUGCACGAAAGCGUGGGGAGCAAACAGGAUUAGAUACCCCUGGUAGUCCACGCCCCUAAACGAUGUCUACUAGUUGUCGGGUUUUAAUUAACUUGGUAACGCAGCUAACGCGUGAAGUGACCGCCUGGGGAAUACGGUCGCAAAGNUUAAAACCNCAAAGGAUUGACGGNNGAGAGNGCGACGACGACGACGAGGGAGGAGG